UGGUGUAAACAAAACCAACUCACUGUUUAAGUAAUGUUUUUUUCCAGACAUUUGUGAUGGUGCUCUCUAAAGUCCAAUAUGCAUGACAGUCAUGCUACAUCAAGCUCAAUGGAGCCUCAUAUUCAACAUUUUUGAGACAAGCCAAAGAGAAGCUUAACAUCCCUGAAGAAACAAAUGUAUGUCUUGUGAAUGAAACUGGGUCGGAAGUUGAAGACAUAAGUGACAUUCCGGAGGAAAAAUCCAGCGUUGUCUGGAACAUCACAGAUGCCUUUUCUGUCAAAGAGAUGACAAGCUCAGUCCAGGGGAGGCAGCCCUACUACGUUUUAGCGGUUGGAGCAUUUCACCAUCAAUGACUACUCCAUAGUUGUGGAUCGUCAACUCAUUCCCUGCAAGGCUAAGUCAUAAAUUUUAGCUUCUGACGAACUCUUCAUUGAACAGUAUGUGCACUAAUGCCCCAAAAACAGAUUGCAAUAGCAUACCACUGGGAGUUGUUGUGUUUUAACUGCAUUGAUUAUGGAAAUGUAAAGACAGUGAGAAAGUGAGUAAACAAAUGAGGACAUUGUGGCAGAAAACAUACACGCUGACAUGAAUUGUGAUGUUGAUGUGAUAUCUUGGGUUGCAUGUGAUGCCAUGGAGUAUUUUGGUCUCAUUGUGGGUUCCAAGUUUGAAGUUGGAAUAUUCAGAUCUGUAUAUGGUACAUGCUGUUGUAGAAGAUAUUGAGACAGGAUUUGCUCUUGUAGGUUCUUGUAGAAAAGCUCUAUUUCACAUUAACUUGUUUGAAAAACUUAGAUGUUUGUGUUGUAGAAAAAAAUUACACAAUACUGCUAAAGUGUACCACUGAAGCUUGUCUAUUUUUUACACUUUCACAUUUUGUUAAUUGGGGUGGUCCUUGUUCAUAAUCACUAAGGAGCAUAGUACUGUCCAGUGCUAGAAGUUUAUACAAUUCUUGUAUUUAAAAUGGAAUGUUUAUAUAAAGGAUGUCCUUUAAUUUGCUUCAGUUACUGUAUACCUAUAAUGCUGCAAACUAAACUAAAAUAAAGUAUACUUGGACUUUC